CAGUGUGUAUUGUGCAUUUCAUGGCUACUGAACGCCCCGAGCGAGUUGAAGGCUUUCUGUUCAGGAAUUACAUUCUUUCUGCAGAAGGAAAGUCGGCCACUCUCUAUCAGCAGCAGUAUACUGAUGGAUAAUAUCGCUUAUGAAUUACUAUUUUUAGCGGAAUGCAGCACGUUUAACAUGUGAACCCGUGGUACUAGGCAACAUAAUACCGAUAGAUUUCACGACCAGUUGUACAUCAUAUUAAUGUUCCAUUCCUUUGCCGUUCAGAAUAUCGUGGUGGAGUGCCUAGAUCGCUAGCUUGGUGCAAGGAUGUACUCAUGUGCAGCAUUUGUAGCAUGAAAUAUUGCCGAAUUGUGAUACUAUUUUGGUCUCAUAAUAACCGAGGGAAACCGAUGCAGCUAGCAGAAGCUACCAAUACUCAGCUCCUAAGAACCCUUAAGAACAGACAUUUACAUGAUUUAGCGCUGUAAAUCGUUUUCGUUCUUCACACAGUAUAGUAUCAGUAGCAAACGAAUGCUGAGUCCACAUGAACAGACGUUUGUAAACAUCUCUAUUCAUCGCCAUGCAACGGUUAUUUGACAAGGGAUGCAUCAUAUUAUGAUACGACCUCCGGAUAUUUUAAGCCAUAAACUCAUUAUGAUUAUAAUUCUUUUCAUUGCGACAUACCCCCAGCAUUGAAUCUCAAGCAUGGCAUCAUCCAAACGCUCAGGGAGGAGAGUUCCGCCAUCGUAUGAAGAGACGAUGGAGGAAUUAGCUCGGAAGAGGAGUGGUGAAAACCCCAAACACGACCCGAAAUCACCAGGACAAGGCGUGUACAGGAAAAGAACCGACGUCGAUGAUGUCGGUUACGAUGAAGCAGGAACGACCCCGCAAUACCAGUCAGACCAACCCGCUACCAUCUCACACACAACAGUCAAACCGAACUAUCAACAGCAUGACGCAAAUCUCAUGCCCCAAACCUCGACAGCCACCUCCCCAUCGCCCGAACAUUCCCGAGGAUCCCCAAAGAAAGGCCGAUUUAAGAAACUGAUUUCCCGAUCAACGUCGAAACGGGAUCCGAACACUUACACUUACGAGAACCAACAGAGCGUCGAUUACUGGUCGUCGAUAGAACCAGUUACGAUUGAUCCUAAUAUUGAACCUAUCCUCCAACGACCGAUGGUAACUCGGAUUGGACCGGACGGAAGGACAUAUUUAAGAGAUACCAGUAUAGUUGUCGUACAGCCCGAAGAUCACGAAACUCCGAACACACAGAAGGUAGUUGAGAGACCAAUUCGACCCAAUGACUAUAUGUGGUACUCCUUCGUGGGAAUGGCCUUUUGUUUCAUCUUUGGAAUUUUCUCUUUGAUACGAUCUAAAGAGGUAAGUUGGAUGAAAAAAAGUCACGUUGUCUCCUCUUUUAUAACAAGUGGAACGCCUCUGGCAGUCUCGCCUGCAUUACGCAAUUUAAUAUAGCAGCAGUGCUAACUUUGAAAACUACUAUAAAAUAAUCAUUUACAAAAACAUCAUUCAUAUAAUGACAUAAUACCACGUUCAUUGACCAUAAAUGGCAUUUGAACGGAGACUUAAGACUGUCAACUACACCCAUGUCCACAUUUCAUUCACUCUAUCCAUAAACUUUCAAAGUUAUGAUGGCACUUCAACAAUUACCCCAACAUGGCCUAAGUUUAUUGACCUUAACUGACCUUUGACUUGGUUUUGUGACCUGAAACUCACAGGGGAUGUUCAGUGAUGCUUGAUUACUCUUAUAUCCCAAGUUUUAUGAACUAGAUCCAUAAACUUUCAGAGUUAGGAUGAUAAUUCAACAAAUACCCCCAACACGGCCAAAGUUCAUUGACCUUAAAUGACCUUUGACCAUGGUCAUGUGACCUGAAACUCGCACAGGAUAUUCAGUGGUACUUGAUUAACCUAAUGUCCAAGUUUCAUGAACUAGAUCCAUAAAUUUUCAAAGUUAUGAUGUAAUUCAACAAAUACCCCCAACUUGACCAAAGUUCAUUGACCCUAAAUGACCUUUGACCUUGGUCAGGUGACCUGAAACUCAAGCAGGAUGUAUACUAAUACUUGAUUAACCUUAUGUCCAAGUUUCAUGGACUAGAUCCAUAAAUUUUCAAAGUUAUGAUAGUAAUUCAACAAAUACCCCCAACUUGACCAAAGUUCAUUGACCCUAAAUGACCUUUGACCUUGGUCAUGUGACCUGAAACUCGGGCAGGAUGUUCAGUAAUACUUGAUUAACCUUAUGUCCAAGUUUCAUGAACUAGGUCCAUAUACUUUCUAAGUUAUGAUGUCAUUUCAAAAACUUAACCUUAGGUUAAGAUUUGAUGUUGACGCCGCCUCCGCCGCCGUCGGAAAAGCGGCGCCUAUAGUCUCGCUCUGCUAUGCAGGCGAGACAAAAAUUAAGUAUUUUAAAAAUGUUAGAUUUAAACCUAAUUGAUAUCGACUCUUCUAAUGGCUUGAUGUGCAUGCAGGAUAUUUGUUUGGGGAAACGCUGUAUUUUUCUCAAACUAGCCCUCUCUUUUCUUAUUUUUAGGGGUUCAUUUGAAAAUCACAUGCAGGGGAGGGGUGGUUGCUCCCCUGUUACUUUUUUUUUGGCGCCAUCCCUUGCCAGUGCAUGUGAACAUAAUUUACUCUCUAUCAUCAAAUGGUAAAUAUAUGAAAAAAAACCAACGCUUCAGAGCCACUCAAGAAACAUAGGAUGGGUUAGGUUUUUUUUUUAUUGUUUACUACCAUGGCUUAUUAGAACUUUCUCACCAAGCAAGUAUGAGUACAGGUACAUGUCUUUCACUUGAACUGAGUUAACGAACGACGGUGGGCAUACUCAAUCCAUGAUAUACUGACGUAAUCGACUACGCCAUCUAUUGGCCGUAUCUGUCUCGAUUCAACUGAGCGCUUAUCAUGGAUAUGAUUAUCAAUACUUCAUAACUUUCGAGUCUGAUCCUAUUUCGAAAAUCGUUACGAUCCCCUUGUCAAGUGCAUCUUUAAUGAGACAUAUUAAUGAAUAACCUCAUCUCGGUCAUGUUGGCUCUCAAGUUGUAAAAAAAAUCUUUGCAAAUAAUUUUGUAGAAGAAUUCUGAUACUUCGGAUUAAAUUAUGUCUGAAUUGCACCAUUCGUGUUUCACCUUUUACUUUACUUCGAUCCUUAGGUUCCCGUCAAAUUCGAAGCAGGUGAUUACGAAGGAGCGCAAAAGUCUUCAACAUCUGCGCGGAAUUGGGGCACUCUCGCUCUCAUCAGCGGCGCCGUCAUCAUCAUCGUCUUCCUCUUCCUUCUCUUCGUGAGCCCUUGCCCUCUCACAAGAACAUUGCAGUUUCAGGGAAUAUGCCCUGAGGGCGUAUGACGAAAUGAACUCGUUGAAGUUUCGUAUAGUCGAUGCCAUUCGAUGACAGGUUACAAUAAUCAUGCGCCUUAGCAAUAUGGAAUUACGGAUUCUUUGAACUGUUGAAGCGUUGUGACUAAGCUAUCUUCUUCUCCUGCCUGUACGAUGCAUUCCGGAGGUAUGUUGGUGGAAGAGGUAAUGGUCACUCGCGAUAUUAUGCAUUGCAAACUCACGAAAAAUCGCUAUGAGAAUCAUAUUUUUAAGUACCUUCUUGACCUAACAAUCAUAACAAAAACCGAUUGAUCAAAACACAGAGGUAGGAGGAUGUGCUGUUGAAUUAUGUCUGACCAAAAUGUGUUAGAAGAAUUAACCACAAUUGUGGUUGAUUUUUAACAAUUUUUUAAAGUGGAAUACAAUAUUGAUCAACAUAUAUUGCAACUAAUUCUUAUUCAAAGUAUAUGAUGGUAUUAAAUGAGAAAAAUAAGAAUUCAUAUAGUGACUUCACUUCUGACUUUAAUAUCUGUCAUAACUCUUUUUUUCCUUAUACUAAACUUGAUAUAAUUUAUCCAUCGAGUACCCUGUAUUGUUAAAUCGAUUUAGCUAUACUAUGUACCAAACAAUUGUAAUAAAAUUUCAAUUGUAUUGUAUUUAUUAAAAUUUUAAUUGUACGGUAAUGUGAGCACACAUUGAACUAAACGAAAAGAAAUACUGAAAUUUAUUCUUUAUUAUGUAAUGGUGUUAAAAUUCUCGUCUUUAAACUUCGAAAAUCUCCUUCAGACAUGACUUGAUAGGUCAAUAUAUUUUAAGAUGAAGGGUUGACAAUAAAUAAUGUAGAAAACUUCGACCAAGUUAUAUUUCUCAAAACAUUUUAGUCAAAAGGUUACGCCAUUUUUAUGUAGAGAAUGUUUUUUUUUUUUGCUUAUAUUUUCAUAUUCUAACAAAUGCCAUCCUAUGCUCCUGACAACGACAACAAGAUUAAUUCAAAGUAAUCUUUAUGAGAAUAUUAAUGCGUUGCAUGGAUUAAUGUGCCAAAAAUGUUCUUUUAUGCAUAUGGUCAACGAUAUUCUGUGCUUAUUUAAGUUAGAGACAUGUAUUUCGCCAUUUUGCAGAUCGAUGAUUUUGAAAAAAAUGCCCUUUCUUUGGUAAUCGUGAUGUUAAUGUAAACUUGAAUUUUAGUUAAUUCUCAAUUAUACAUAUAUUGAGGCUUAUGCAGGCAUUUUAUAAUUUCAUUUGUUUAUCUAGAGAAUAAAAACUUUUCACACUUUUA